GUGAGGAAUAUUGGUCAAUGGGCGAGAGCCUGAACCAGCCAAGUCGCGUGAAGGAUGAAGGUUUUAUGAAUUGUAAACUUCUUUUGCAGGGGAAUAAAGUACGGUACGUGUACCGUUUUGUAUGUACUCUGCGAAUAAGGAUCGGCUAACUCCGUGCCAGCAGCCGCGGUAAUACGGAGGAUCCAAGCGUUAUCCGGAUUUAUUGGGUUUAAAGGGUGCGUAGGUGGAUUGAUAAGUCAGCGGUGAAAGUUUGCAGCUUAACUGUAAAAUUGCCGUUGAAACUGUCGGUCUUGAGUGCAAAUGAGGUAGGCGGAAUGCGUGGUGUAGCGGUGAAAUGCAUAGAUAUCACGCAGAACUCCGAUUGCGAAGGCAGCUUACUAAGCUACAACUGACACUGAAGCACGAAAGCGUGGGGAUCAAACAGGAUUAGAUACCCCUGUAGUCC
rnacentral:rRNA from 1 species